rnacentral:lncRNA from 1 species
CUAAUCCUUCCUCGUACGUAAUCGACUCCCGAACCCGUUUUUCUAGAUUUCGUGGACCAAAAUCGUUGUUUUAAUAAAAUUAAAACCGUUUAUUAAAAACAAUCACUUUUCGAGGUGAUCCAAUCACACCUCAUAAAAAGGGGAUUGGUGACGACUCCCGUUUCAUUUUUCAAAACCCAAGUCGACCCUGUUUUUCCAUCCAAAAAAUGGUGUCAACAUAGAGUAUGGAAAGAAGAUCUAAUUAUCAAUACCUUUGGGAGGAAAGAUGCCACUAGAAUUCUCCGUAUCCCGCUGGUACGAGAAGCACAUGACGAUCAGAUGGUGUGGAGUGGCGAGCCCUUUAGGGAGUUCUCGGUUCGCAAUACUUACAAACCAUAACGAAAGUAUCCUAUGGAUCCUAAUGUUUAUGCAUUAAAAAACAAAGCUAAAGAAUUAUACAAACAACUUUGGGGCCUAAAUCUCCUUGGGAAAAUAAAUAUUACAGUUUGGAGGAUCUCCUGGAAUUACAUCCCCACUCUUGUGAACAAGAACCAUAAGAAGCUUCCCCAUAUUACAAUGUGUCCAUCGAUGUGGUGAAGUAACUAAAACAAUCACCCAUGUAUUUCGAGUGUGUCCUGCUUCCAGAGAAGUUUUGUCAGGUUUACAAUUGUCAUGGAUUUUACAUUUUGAUGAUUUGGAUUUUGAACAGCGGUUUACCUGGGCUAUUGGGGGUGUUCGUUUAACCAAAAGUGUAUCAUUUGCUGUGCACUUUGGGCAAUUUGGGGAGAUAACAAUACGUGGGUCCAUGAAAAGAGAAGAAAAUCAGGUAAAGAUUUAAUUGCUUUUGUACGAGAUUUUAUUAAUGAGUUAGAAGGGGUGAAGAUAUAGACCUAUCAAAGUGCGAAUCUGGGGGGAAAAUGGGGAAAGCCUUCUGGGAAUACGAUGAAGAUAAACUUCAAUGGCGCUUAUGACGAUGGUAUUUUUAGAUCGGCUUCAGGAAUUGUCGCUAUGAACGUCGAGGGGGCGGCCCUAUGCUCUCGUUCGGAAGUUCACGACGAAGUGGCAUCCGCAUUUGCAGCCGAAGCCAUUGCAUGUCAAAAGGCAGUAGAAAUGGGGUCAGAAAUGGGGUGGAAGAUAUUAUUGUGGAAGGGGAUUCAUUAUCUAUAGUUAAGAAAUGUAAAGAAAAAAUCCAGGACAAAUCGGUUAUCGGAGCAUAUAUCCACAACAUUAAGAAAGUAACAGGUAGAUUUCGGACAGUUAGAUUCACAUAUGUGCCUCAAACGGCUAAUGGUUUAUGGCACACACAAUCGCAAAAGAGGCGUUAAGAAGAAGGGAAUUGUCUUACCUGGUGCGCAAGGUUCCGGUAUAUGCGGAACUAGCGCUGGAAGUUGAUUGGGAGAGGGAACCGGAUUGGAAUCUGCGAUGAACAAAAGGAGAGUUGAGGAGAGGUUUUGUUGAAAUGGCUUUUGGAAGAGUUCCUCUCCGAGUUCUGGAACCGUCAGCGGCAGGAAAUGACGAUAUUUGGGGACCGGUGAUCUGAAGCAAUUUGACUGGGCAAGUUAGACGGUGCCUUUACUUUCUAAUUAUGUUGUUUUAUCCGUUUAUCUUGUGGGCCAUUUGGAUUUGGGCCUUUUCUUGGUUUUGUUUGAUUUGGACCAUAUUUGCAGUCGGUAGGUUUUAUACUUUGGUUUUAUUAAUAAAUAGCCCAAUCAGAUUUAUUUAAAAAAAAUAUUAAAUUUGACAUGUAUAAUUUAUAUGAAUAGACUAUAAAAUAUAACG